rnacentral:tRNA from 3 species
GCUGGCGGGGUGGCUGGCGGGCCGUCGUUGAUGCGCUGCGGGCUGAUCAGGUUGGUGAACUCCUCGAUCAGGCGCUGGAUCGCUUCCGGCGGCUGGCA